GACGAACGCUGGCGGCGUGCCUAAUACAUGCAAGUCGAGCGAGCGGAACCAACAGAUUUACUUCGGUAAUGACGUUGGGAAAGCGAGCGGCGGAUGGGUGAGUAACACGUGGGGAACCUGCCCCUAAGUCUGGGAUACCAUUUGGAAAUAGGUGCUAAUACCGGAUAAUAAAGCAGAUCGCAUGAUCAGCUUUUGAAAGGCGGCGUAAGCUGUCGCUAAGGGAUGGCCCCGCGGUGCAUUAGCUAGUUGGUAAGGUAACGGCUUACCAAGGCGACGAUGCAUAGCCGAGUUGAGAGACUGAUCGGCCACAUUGGGACUGAGACACGGCCCAAACUCCUACGGGAGGCAGCAGUAGGGAAUCUUCCACAAUGGACGCAAGUCUGAUGGAGCAACGCCGCGUGAGUGAAGAAGGUUUUCGGAUCGUAAAGCUCUGUUGUUGGUGAAGAAGGAUAGAGGUAGUAACUGGCCUUUAUUUGACGGUAAUCAACCAGAAAGUCACGGCUAACUAC
rnacentral:rRNA from 1 species